AUUACUGGUCAACUUCUUGACAGAUGGAGAGGAUCGGGAAGUGUUCGAUGUGACCCAAAGCCUCGUCCCAUUUCCAACCUCUGAUGAUGGCGGUGGCUGGAGGAUUGCAACGAUCGUGUGUGCGUCGCUGAACGCCGUUUUUCUGAUCGCUCUCGUCGUUCUAGCUGUGGCAGUCGUCAAGAUAAAGAAGAAUUCACUUGACACUUCACAUGUAUCUUUCAAAUCAUCUUCAGCAUUACACAAUAGAGCCGAUGAACAACACCGGAAUAACUCACCAAAGCUCUUAGAUAAUGCUUAGAAAAGGAAAGAAGAAGAGGGAGAGGAAGCGAGGCUAGGGGCGUCGGAGGGAAGGCGUAAUGGAUUUUUUCCUAUUUUUUAAAGAUAAUUCCCUUUGUAGUAAACACGGAUGUAUUUAUGUAGUACAUUACAUAAUAUACUAGUUGAUCAUUCUUACAUAUAUAUAUAUAUAUAUAUAUAUAUAUAUAUAUAUAUAUAUAUAUAUAUAUAUAUAUAUAUAUAUAUAUAUAUAUAUAUAUAUAUAUACAUAUAUAUACGUAUGUAUAUUUAUCAUAAUGAAAAUUGGAACUAAUUUAAUUUUGUUUCUGUGAUCUCUUAUAGUUGCUAAACAUCUACAAAACAGACACUCUAUUCCGUACACGUGGCAGAAGCCUUGUGUCUUCUGGCUGCUCAGCCUCGUGCUUCCUGCGCAAUAACUUUUUGCACUUUCACUAACAGGGCUUCUUGACUUCUGGCUGCUGAGCUUUGUGCUUCUUGCACUUUCCCUAACAGGACUUCUUGUCUUCUGGUUGCUGAGCUUUGUGCUUCUUGCACUUUCCCUAACAGGACUUCUUGUCUUCUGGCUGCUGAGCUUUGUGCUUCUUGCACUUUCCCUAACAGGGCUUCUUGACUUCUGGCAACUGAGCGCUGUGCUUCUUACACUUUCCCUUAAUUACCAUGUUUAUCAGCCUUGCUAGGAAGUCUUUUACUAUCGCAUAUAUCCAACCAAAAAAAUGACUUCUGAGUUCUGCCUGCUCAUCCUCGUGCUUCCUGCGCAAUAACUCACGAAUCUAUGACGAUAUUACGUAGUGAGUAAUCUAUUACGUCUUAUAAACACUCAAAUUUUCAAAAUACGAUCCGAACAGUUCAGAUGGUGUUAUUACUGGAAACACGUACCAGCCG
rnacentral:lncRNA from 1 species